rnacentral:rRNA from 1 species
UACGAAGGGGGCUAGCGUUGCUCGGAAUCACUGGGCGUAAAGAGCGUGUAGGCGGCCAGGUAGGUCUGCUGUGAAAACUCGAGGCUCAACCUCGAGAUGUCGGCGGAAACCAUCUGGCUAGAGUCCGGAAGAGGAAAGUGGAAUUCCUGGUGUAGCGGUGAAAUGCGCAGAUAUCAGGAAGAGCACCCGGUGGCGAAGGCGGCUUUCUGGGACGGGUACUGACGCGUGAGAACGGCGAAAGCCCAGGGGAGCAAACGGG